rnacentral:rRNA from 1 species
AGUGAACGCUGGCGGUAGGCCUAACACAUGCAAGUCGAACGGCAGCACAGUAAGAGCUUGCUCUUACGGGUGGCGAGUGGCGGACGGGUGAGGAAUACAUCGGAAUCUACUUUUUCGUGGGGGAUAACGUAGGGAAACUUACGCUAAUACCGCAUACGACCUACGGGUGAAAGCAGGGGAUCUUCGGACCUUGCGCGAUUGAAUGAGCCGAUGUCGGAUUAGCUAGUUGGCGGGGUAAAGGCCCACCAAGGCGACGAUCCGUAGCUGGUCUGAGAGGAUGAUCAGCCACACUGGAACUGAGACACGGUCCAGACUCCUACGGGAGGCAGCAGUGGGGAAUAUUGGACAAUGGGCGCAAGCCUGAUCCAGCCAUACCGCGUGGGUGAAGAAGGCCUUCGGGUUGUAAAGCCCUUUUGUCGGGAAAGAAAAGCAGCAGGUUAAUACCCCGCUGUCCUGACGGUACCCAAAGAAUAAGCACCGGCUAACCUCGUG